GACGAAAUGGUAAAAGUAGCCAUUUUCGCAUACGAGUUUUGACAAGCCAGCUCGAAAAUCGGAAACGGUCGGAGGCACGCUCACACUAUCCGUAUACCAUCUUGGCAUAAUGGCUUGUAUAUUUUGAGUAUGGCAUGUAUAGCAUUAUAAUCAUUUUGUGUAUAUGGUCUUAUGAUA